GAUGAACGCUAGCGGCAGGCCUAACACAUGCAAGUCGAGGGGCAGCACAGAAACAGCAAUGUUUUGGUGGCGACCGGCGGACGGGUGCGUAACGCGUAUGCAACCUACCUUUAACAGGGGGAUAACGGAGAGAAAUUUCCACUAAUACCCCAUAACAUCGAUCAAGGCAUCUUGAUUGGUUGAAACUCCGGUGGUUAAAGAUGGGCAUGCGUUGUAUUAGGUAGUUGGUGAGGUAAUGGCUCACCAAGCCUACGAUACAUAGGGGACUGAGAGGUUAGCCCCCCACACUGGUACUGAGACACGGACCAGACUCCUACGGGAGGCAGCAGUGAGGAAUAUUGGUCAAUGGGGGCAACCCUGAACCAGCCAUGCCGCGUGCAGGAAGACGGCUCUAUGAGUUGUAAACUGCUUUUAAACAGGGAUAAAGCACAGUAUGUAUACUGUGUUGAAGGUACUGUAAGAAUAAGGAUCGGCUAACUCCGUGCCAGCAGCCGCAGUAA
rnacentral:rRNA from 1 species